rnacentral:rRNA from 1 species
AGAGUUUGAUCAUGGCUCAGAAUCAACGCUGGCGGCGUGCCUAACACAUGCAAGUCGAACGAGAAAGUGGAGCAAUCCAUGAGUAAAGUGGCGACCGGGUGAGUAACACGUGACUAACCUACCUUUCAGUGGGGAAUAACCUCGGGAAACCGGGGCUAAUACCGCAUAAUGUCUUCGGACCAAAGGAGCAAUUCGCUGGAAGAGGGGGUCGCGGCCGAUUAGCUAGUUGGCGGGGUAACGGCCCACCAAGGCAAUGAUCGGUAGCCGGCCUGAGAGGGCGCACGGCCACACUGGAACUGAAACACGGUCCAGACUCCUACGGGAGGCAGCAGUGGGGAAUUUUGCGCAAUGGGGGAAACCCUGACGCAGCAACGCCGCGUGGAGGAUGAAGCCCCUUGGGGUGUAAACUCCUUUCGAUCGGGACGAUGAUGACGGUACCGGAUGAAGAAGCACCGGCUAACUCUGUGCCAGCAGCCGCGGUAAUACAGAGGGUGCAAGCGUUGUUCGGAAUUAUUGGGCGUAAAGGGUGCGUAGGCGGUGCGGUAAGUCUGUUGUGAAAUCUCCGGGCUCAACUCGGAGCCUGCAACGGAAACUGCCGUGCUGGAGUAUGGGAGAGGUGAGUGGAAUUCCCGGUGUAGCGGUGAAAUGCGUNNNUAUCGGGAGGAACACCUGUGGCGAAAGCGGCUCACNNNNNNAUUACUGACGCUGAUGCACGANAGNUA